rnacentral:tRNA from 1 species
GGGGCUAUAGCUCAGCUGGGAGAGCGCUUGACUGGCAGUCAAGAGGUCGGCGGUUCGAUCCCGCCUAGCUCCACCA